AUAAUACAAAAGCUCACCAGGAAAAAGGUGGCAUGUAUAAUACAAAAGCUACAGAAAUAUUAAAGUAUACGUUAAGAAAAUAAGAAUCUUCCCACUAGUUUUAUUCAUAAUAACUCAAAACUGGAAAAAGUCUACUUCCCAUCAACAAAAGGAUUAUUAAACAAACUGUAAUAAUUGUGACACAACAGACUACCCCCUGCAAUUAUAAGGAAUAAAAUACUAAUGUAUACAUUAGCAUGGAUAUGUAACUGGCCUAAGGGCAAGGGUCCCCAGGGAGUUCUAGGUCCAGGUUCUUGGCAUGCUGAGCAAAGAACUGAGCAAGAGGUUGGCUGAAAAGCCAGAGGUUUGUUGAAAGCAAAAGAAAACACUCUUGGAGAACAGAAUGUGCCUAGCUGAGAAGAAGAUCAAGGCCCCGUCUACUCAGUGAAACUGACUUUUGUUGGGCUCUGCUAGUUUGCCCCUUUCUCCUGUGAAGAUCUAGGUUUGAUUGGCACCUUUAUUGACAGCUGAAUUGACAUAAUUUCUUCUAUACUGCCCAGGCAUUUCCUUUUCCCCUAGAAAAUGCACAGAGGGACAGCAAACUCCAAUGCUGAUAACCUUCAGUAGCGACAAAUUUACUUUGGGUCAGUCCCCCUGGCUCUGCACAUGCCCAAGAUCUGGGACUUUUCCUUUAGGGUCUUAAACUCCCCUUGUUGUCAUCUAUCUUGCUCGCUUUAACCACAAGAGGCCCAAGUUUCCCCUCACAGGAAGAUGCUGGGUGAGGAUGAGGGGCCCUAGCCCCCCCCAAUGCCCUAUCUCUUACCUAACAGAUCCAUCGUAAGAGCAUAAGUCAUAGAAGUUUUGAGAAAGAGAUGAGUACUUUAUGAUUCCAUUCUUAUGAAAUUCCAUAACAGGUAAAGUGAAUCUUUGGUUAAAAAUUGAAACAAUGGCCUCUCACACCUACUCCCUCCAUUGUGAUACUGUCUGCCAUGAGGUCCUCAUCAGAGCUGACCUGAAGCCGGCACCAGGUCUUUGAACCUACAGAACUAAGAAAAUUCAGAUGAAUUAUCUGGUGAAUGACAGGAAAAGUGCCAUAAAUCUGACAUUAUUUCUUUUUCUUCUGAGGAAAGCCUGGUUCUGUGUAAUUAUUGAGCUACACUGUGAACGGAACACACGCUGUAAAUUGGCAAGAAACU
rnacentral:lncRNA from 1 species